rnacentral:lncRNA from 1 species
UGUGAAAUCCGUAUGUAAAUCCCUUCGCAAACUAUCUGCAGAUGUAGGCCUACCAGGCCAAACCUAUUACAAUUCACGUGAUAGAGAGAAAAAAAGAUGGAAACAGAUUUAACUAAGAUUUGACUGAAUUUUUGGCCAAAACUUGGUCAAGAGGCAUGAAGAGGAAACAGAUAUGCACUUCUAUAUUGAUUAUUGAAUGAAGAACUUGUAUGUUUGUUUCAACUCUAGAGUUGACUAAUAAUUGAAAUCCAAUGGAAACAUUUGGCCGGUAUAUUCGGACGACCUCGCCGAAACGGGUGAAUUUCACCGAAAGUGAGUCAUUUCGGGGUGAAUCCCAAAGCCCUGUGGAGGGUGAGGAGUUACAAAGUGCUAUUACAAUGCAACGCUUCACUUCCACUGGUUGGCGCAGAUGUCAGCGAGGUCGACGACCCUCUGCGAGUAGCCCCACUCGUUGUCGUACCAGGAGAUGACCUUGACCAUGUCGUCGCCCAUGACCAUGGUGAGGGAGGCGUCGAUGGUGGAGGAGACGUCGGAGCACCUGAAGUCGACGGACACGAGCGGCACGUCGC